rnacentral:tRNA from 1 species
GCCCUGGUGGUACAUUGGCUGAGUGCUCAGCUGCUAACUGAGAGGUUGGUGGUUCGAACCCACCCAGCAGCU